UGAGGAAUAUUGGUCAAUGGGCGGGAGCCUGAACCAGCCAAGUAGCGUGAAGGAUGACAGCCCUAUGGGUUUUAAACUUCUUUUAUAAGGGAAUAAAGUGCCCCACGUGUGGGGUUUUGUAUGUACCUUAUGAAUAAGCAUCGGCUAAUUCCGUGCCAGCAGCCGCGGUAAUACGGAAGAUGCGAGCGUUAUCCGGAUUUAUUGGGUUUAAAGGGAGCGUAGGCGGUUCCAUAAGUCAGCGGUAAAAUCGUGCGGCUCAACCGUACCGUGCCGUUGAAACUGUGGGACUUGAGUAUGCGCAGG
rnacentral:rRNA from 1 species